AUUGAACGCUGGCGGCAGGCCUAACACAUGCAAGUCGAGCGAGCGGCGGACGGGUGAGUAAUGUAUGGGGACUGCUCGAUAGAGGGGGAUAAAUACGGGAAACGGUGCCUACUACCGCAUACUAUCGGAUAACCCAUAUGGGAUUAGCGAGUGGGUGGGGUAAAGGCACACCUAGGCGAAGAUCUUUAGCUGGCCUGAGAGGAUGAUCAGCCACAUGGCGACGAAGACACGGCCCCGACGCCUACGGAGGCAGCAGUGUGGAAGUUUUGACAAUGGGCGCAAGCCUGAUGCAGCCAUGCCGCGGGUAUGAAGAAGGCCUUAGGUUUGUAAAGUACUUUCAGCGGGGAGGCGUUACCAGCAGAAGAAGCACCGGCUAACUCCGUGCCAGCAGCCGCGGUAAUUC
rnacentral:rRNA from 1 species